GAGCUGAUUGGUUGCUAUGGGCAACAGGGCAACUUUUCCUCUGAACAGGUUUUGAUAAAUCUCCCCCUAUGUAACUAUGUAACCCCUGGACAGGUACAGUCAGUUGUCACUAAGGAAUUGUGGAGGAGACAUAAUAGACAAGAGAAAAUAGGAAAGUGUGUGUUCAAGUUUGAAGAAUAGCAAGGACAAGUAUCUACUGGAAUUAAAUGCAUCCUGCCUAUUGUACAACUCAAAUUUUAUUUUAUAUAAAACAUGUAAUCACUUCUUAUCAAGGUAAAAAGAUAAAGAGUAUUUUUUUAGUCCUACUAAAAUUGGAAUUCAAAUUAAAAAUUACAUUCUAGAAAGGGGAGGUUGUUUGACACCAGGAGGGCACAUAAUUACCUAACUACUAGUUCUGCCUUAGGCUGAUAAAGAAUCCAGAUAAGUCAUUAACACCAAAAUGAUAUUGACAAAUGAUAUGUUUUGUAACUUUACAUAGACACCAUGCUGUGUUUAAAUUCCACUUUCCCCAUUCUUUAGCAAACCGGCUAAUUGUU